GUUCGCCGCCUGUCGGUGUUACUGGCAUGUCGCGGCAUGUCCUGUCGGUGGUGAAUGAAAUCCCUGGUGCUUACGUAGGCUUUUAAUAGCUGAAGUUUGUGCCGUGGUGAAUUCAUUUGCCGAUUUCUCCUACUCCGGUGCUCUUAAACGAGUGUCGAGGUAGGCCGACACGUUCACUUUGAACAAAUUAGAGUGCUUAAAGCAGGCUAAAAUAUCUGCCUGAAUAGUGGUGCAUGGAAUAAUAAAAUAGGACCUCGGUUCUAUUUUAUUGGUUUUAGGAAUAUGAGGUAAUGAUCAAUGUGGACUGGCGGGGGCAUUCGUAUUGCGACGUUAGAGGUGAAAUUCUUGGAUCGUCGCAAGACGCACUAGAGCGAAAGCAUUUGCCAAGUAUGUCUUAAUUGAUCAAGAACGAAAGUUAGAGGUUCGAAGGCGAUCAGAUACCGCCCUAGUUCUAACC
rnacentral:rRNA from 1 species